rnacentral:miRNA from 1 species
GAAAUCAAGGUUGGGUGAGACCU